rnacentral:rRNA from 1 species
UACGGAGGAUGCAAGCGUUAUCCGGAUUCAUUGGGUUUAAAGGGUGCGCAGGUUGGGAAGUAAGUCAGUGGUGAAAUACUGCCGCUUAACGGUAGAACUGCCAUUGAUACUGCUUUUCUUGAGUAUGGUUGAGGUAGGUGGAAUGUGUUGUGUAGCGGUGAAAUGCAUAGAUAUGACACAGAACGCCGAUUGCGAAGGCAGCUUACUAAGCCAUUACUGACGCUGAGGCACGAAAGCGUGGGGAUCGAACAGG